CUUGUAACUCAGGCCCACAUGUCCAGGCAACACCUUGCUUACCUGCUGAUGGCCAGUGGUUUCCAUCUUAUUCUUCUGCUGAACAACACCAGCUUCUCCUCAUGCUGAAUUCACUCACAAAAAGAAAUACAGCAUGGUGACAGGCCCUUCCAGCCCAAUGAUCUCAUGUCACCCAAUAACACUCGUGACCAAUCAACCUACAAACCCAAUACGUCUUUGGAAUGUGGAAGGAAAUAGGAGAACCCGGAGGAAAUCCACGAAGUCAUGGGGAAAACAUACUAACUCCUUACAGAAUUGAAUAAAGAAAAAAAAAGAGAAAGAAGAGAAAGAUUGCCUGGAUAUCGGAGGAUCCCCACAUGCUCCAUGGAGUUCAAAAUAAUUUUAAUAUUUAUUUUUUCUUUCCCCAAUUACUUUAUAAUUUUAUCUUCAAAG